rnacentral:rRNA from 1 species
AUUGAACGCUGGCGGCAUGCCUUACACAUGCAAGUCGAACGGCAGCGCGGGAGCAAUCCUGGCGGCGAGUGGCGAACGGGUGAGUAAUACAUCGGAACGUGCCCAAUCGUGGGGGAUAACGCAGCGAAAGCUGUGCUAAUACCGCAUACGAUCUACGGAUGAAAGCAGGGGAUCGCAAGACCUUGCGCGAAUGGAGCGGCCGAUGGCAGAUUAGGUAGUUGGUGAGGUAAAGGCUCACCAAGCCUUCGAUCUGUAGCUGGUCUGAGAGGACGACCAGCCACACUGGGACUGAGACACGGCCCAGACUCCUACGGGAGGCAGCAGUGGGGAAUUUUGGACAAAGGGCGAAAGCCUGAUCCAGCCAUGCCGCGUGCAGGAUGAAGGCCUUCGGGUUGUAAACUGCUUUUGUACGGAACGAAACGGUCUUUUCUAAUAAAGAAGGCUAAUGACGGUACCGGAAGAAUAAGCACCGGCUAACUACGUG